GGGACGUUCGGGAAAUUAAGUGACCCCACCACUCAGUGAAAAUCGUGACUCAUGAUCAUCUGACAACAUCGAGAUGCACCAAGUCCAAAAAAAAAUAGAUAAGUCAGUAAUUCAUCUUAAUCAUUAACAGCUCUUUCAGCACAAAUGGUGCGCCCUGACAAAGGACUCAAUGGAAAAAUUCACAACAGCUGUUUAUUUAUUGAUCAAUUUAUUUAUUUAGUUAAAGGAUGUCCACUUUGAAUCUUUCCUAUGAAUCUUAGGGUCUCUGGGUCGCUACCUGCUGAUGACACUGUUAAACUCUAUCUGCAGUUAUUGUAGUGGUGAAAUUAUAAAAGAAUUGUAUGAUGAUUGUUCCAAUAGUGUUGUGCAAUGCGUUCCAGGAUACAAAAUAAUCACUUGCCCAAUUCACCAGCAAGAAAGGAGGGAACCCUUCAUCCCAGGAACAUUCAGGGGCCGGCCUAACCAAUGUGGUGCCCUAGCUGAGAUUUUAUCUGGCCCCUGCAAAAGACGUCGAAUUUGUAACAUUACUUUUAAGUCAUAAAAUAACUGUUAAUGGUUUA